rnacentral:tmRNA from 1 species
ACGAAAGUUUGGCUUUAGCUGCUUAAAAGCAGUUAACGCUCGACUGCCUUUGCCCUGCGGGGUGGAUCGAGUGUCAGAAAGCAGGGAUAGCCUUAUUCUUUGCAGAGGAGAGUAAGGCGAAAAACUACUCUGCUAAUCUGCUUUCUAUCCUGCCUGUCGGAGAGAAAGUAGAUGAAAUUUAAAAGACAGGCUAAGUGUGUAGAUGUUCUGAUUUUUCCAUCUCUGGACGAGGGUUCGAUUCCCUCCACCUCCACCA